rnacentral:rRNA from 1 species
UACGGAGGGGGCUAGCGUUGUUCGGAAUUACUGGGCGUAAAGCGCACGUAGGCGGCUUUGUAAGUUAGAGGUGAAAGCCCGGGGCUCAACUCCGGAAUUGCCUUUUAGACUGCAUCGCUUGAAUCAUGGAGAGGUCAGUGGAAUUCCGAGUGUAGAGGUGAAAUUCGUAGAUAUUCGGAAGAACACCAGUGGCGAAGGCGGCUGACUGGACAUGUAUUGACGCUGAGGUGCGAAAGCGUGGGGAGCAAACAGG